rnacentral:misc_RNA from 1 species
GAUGAAGAACGCAGCGAAAUGCGUUACGUAGUGUGAAUUGCAGAAUUCAGUGAAUCAUCGAAUCUUUGAACGCACAUUGCACCUCUCGGUAUUCCGGGAGGUAUGCCUGUUCGAGCGUCAUUUGUACCCUCAAGCUCUGCUUGGUGUUGGGUGUUUGUUCCGCCUCUGUGUGUGAACUCGCCUCAAAACAAUUGGCAGCCGGCGUACUUGUUUCGGAGCGCAGCACAUUUUGCGAUCCAGAUCAACGUACAGCGGCAUCCAAGAAGCCUUAUUUAACGCUCUUGACCUCGGAUCAGGUAGGGAUACCCGCUGAACUUAAGCAUAUCAAUAAGCGGAGGA